rnacentral:rRNA from 1 species
UACGAAGGGGGCUAGCGUUGCUCGGAAUCACUGGGCGUAAAGGGUGCGUAGGCGGGUCUUUAAGUCAGGGGUGAAAUCCUGGAGCUCAACUCCAGAACUGCCUUUGAUACUGAAGAUCUUGAGUUCGGGAGAGGUGAGUGGAACUGCGAGUGUAGAGGUGAAAUUCGUAGAUAUUCGGAAGAACACCAGUGGCGAAGGCGCUAC